GCGGCCUGACUGUGGCGCAGAUGCAAAGCCAGAUGGACCCGGUAUACACGCCGGCGCGAAAAAUCCACCUGUACCACUGCGACCAUCGCGGCCUGCCGCUGGCCCUUAUCAGUAAGGAAGGGGCAACAGAAUGGUGCGCAGAAUACGAUGAGUGGGGCAACCUGCUGAAUGAAGAGAACCCGCAUCAGCUGCAGCAGCUUAUCCGCCUGCCGGGGCAGCAGUAUGAUGAGGAGUCCGGCCUGUAUUACAACCGCCACCGCUAUUAUGACCCGCUGCACGGG
rnacentral:rRNA from 1 species